rfam:Prochlorococcus marinus str. NATL2A, complete genome.
AUCAAUAAAGUAGAAUUUAAUCUCAAUUUGGUCGGCGGGCCAUUUUGUAUUCCUAUCGCACUGUUCUAAAAAGGCAGACCGCCAU